rnacentral:misc_RNA from 1 species
UCACAUUUUGACCCAUAGUAAGCUUGUCAG